ACUACGGUGCUGAAGUAACAAAUGCCCUGCUUCCAGGAAAAGCCUCUAAGCAUCAGGUAACAUUAAAUCGUACCCCAAACCGACACAGGUGGUCAGGUAGAGAAUACCAAGGCGCUUGAGAGAACUCGGGUGAAGGAACUAGGCAAAAUGGUGCCGUAACUUCGGGAGAAGGCACGCUGGUGUGUAGGUGAAGUCCCUGCGGAUGGAGCUGAGACCAGUCGAAGAUACCAGCUGGCUGCAACUGUUUAUUAAAAACACAGCACUGUGCAAACACGAAAGUGGACGUAUACGGUGUGACGCCUGCCCGGUGCCGGAAGGUUAAUUGAUGGGGUUAUCCGUAAGGAGAAGCUCUUGAUCGAAGCCCCGGUAAACGGCGGCCGUAACUAUAACGGUCCUAAGGUAGCGAAAUUCCUUGUCGGGUAAGUUCCGACCUGCACGAAUGGCGUAAUGAUGGCCAGGCUGUCUCCACCCGAGACUCAGUGAAAUUGAACUCGCUGUGAAGAUGCAGUGUACCCGCGGCAAGACGGAAAGACCCCGUGAACCUUUACUAUAGCUUGACACUGAACAUUGAGCCUUGAUGUGUAGGAUAGGUGGGAGGCUUUGAAGCGUGGACGCCAGUCUGCGUGGAGCCAACCUUGAAAUACCACCCUUUAAUGUUUGAUGUUCUAACGUUGGCCCCUUACCGGGGUUGCGGACAGUGUCUGGUGGGUAGUUUGACUGGGGCGGUCUCCUCCCAAAGCGUAACGGAGGAGCACGAAGGUUAGCUAAUCCUGGUCGGACAUCAGGAGGUUAGUGCAAUGGCAUAAGCUAGCUUGACUGCGAGCGUGACGGCGCGAGCAGGUGCGAAAGCAGGUCAUAGUGAUCCGGUGGUUCUGAAUGGAAGGGCCAUCGCUCAACGGAUAAAAGGUACUCCGGGGAUAACAGGCUGAUACCGCCCAAGAGUUCAUAUCGACGGCGGUGUUUGGCACCUCGAUGUCGGCUCAUCACAUCCUGGGGCUGAAGUAGGUCCCAAGGGUAUGGCUGUUCGCCAUUUAAAGUGGUACGCGAGCUGGGUUUAGAACGUCGUGAGACAGUUCGGUCCCUAUCUGCCGUGGGCGCUGGAGAAUUGAGGGGGGCUGCUCCUAGUACGAGAGGACCGGAGUGGACGCAUCACUGGUGUUCGGGUUGUCAUGCCAAUGGCACUGCCCGGUAGCUAAAUGCGGAAGAGAUAAGUGCUGAAAGCAUCUAAGCACGAAACUUGCCCCGAGAUGAGUUCUCCCUGAGACUUUAAGUCUCCUGAAGGAACGUUGAAGACGACGACGUUGAUAGGCCGGGUGUGUAAGCGCAGCGAUGCGUUGAGCUAACCGGUACUAAUGAACCGUGAGGCUUAACCUUACAACGCCGAAG
rnacentral:rRNA from 1 species